rnacentral:rRNA from 1 species
GCCAGCGAAGAUAGCACGUUAGUCCCCCUGGAUCACUGAAGUUAAGCAACGUUGCGCGUGGUUAGUACCUGGAUGGGUGACCUUCUGGGAAAUCGCGGCUUCACUCAGGCU